GUGCCAGCCGCCGCGGUAAUACCGGCAGCCCAAGUGAUGGCCGAUCUUAUUGGGCCUAAAGCGUCCGUAGCUGGCUGCGCAAGUCCGUCGGGAAAUCCAGUAGCUCAACUACUGGGCGUCCGGCGGAAACUACAAGGCUUGGGACCGGAAGGCUCGAGGGGUACGUCCGGGGUAGGAGUGAAAUCCCGUAAUCCUGGACGGACCGCCGAUGGCGAAAGCACGUCGCGAAGACGGAUCCGACAGUGAGGGACGAAAGCUAGGGUCUCGAACCGGAUUAGAUACCCUAGUAGUCC
rnacentral:rRNA from 1 species